GAAGCAGCGAUGCGGAGCGAAUCCCAAAAAUAACGUCCCAGUUCGGAUUGCAGUCUGCAACUCGAGUGCAUGAAGCUGGAAUCGCUAGUAAUCGCGAAUCAGCAUGUCGCGGUGAAUACGUUCCCGGGUCUUGUACACACCGCCCGUCACACCAUGGGAGUCGGAAAUGCCCGAAGUCGGUGACCUAACCGAGAGGGAGGAGCCGCCGAAGGCAGGUUCGGUAACUGGGGUGAAGUCGUAACAAGGUAGC
rnacentral:rRNA from 1 species